rnacentral:lncRNA from 1 species
UCACGGGUACCGAAGUAUAAACAAGGGGACAUAUGUGCAAACAGGGGUACCGAAGUACAAACAGGGGCACGUAUGUGCAAUCAUGCAAUAAUUAACUAUCGACCUUUAAAUAAGGAACCAUAAUAUGAAAGUAAAAAUAGAAAUUCAUUUACAUAUUGAAACACUAUGAACUUACCUAACAUUCAAUUCUGAACAACUCGCAGAGGCUAGUAUGCUAUUUUCCC